rnacentral:rRNA from 1 species
GAUGAACGCUGGCGGCGUGCUUAACACAUGCAAGUCGAACGGAAAGGCCAGUACUUGCACUGGUACUCGAGUGGCGAACGGGUGAGUAACACGUGGGUGAUCUGCCCUGCACUUCGGGAUAAGCCUGGGAAACUGGGUCUAAUACCGGAUAGGACCACAUUUUGGAUGGUGUGGUGGAAAGUUUUUCGGUGUGGGAUGAGCUCGCGGCCUAUCAGCUUGUUGGUGGGGUAAUGGCCUACCAAGGCGUCGACGGGUAGCCGGCCUGAGAGGGUGUACGGCCACAUUGGGACUGAGAUACGGCCCAGACUCCUACGGGAGGGAGCAGUGGGGAAUAUUGCACAAUGGGAGCAAGCCUGAUGCAGCGACGCCGCGUGGGGGAUGACGGCCUUCGGGUUGUAAACUCCUUUCGCUAGGGACGAAGCGUAUUUGUGACGGUACCUGGAGAAGAAGCACCGGCUAACUACGUGCCAGCAGCCGCCGUAA